UGGGGAAUAUUGGACAAUGGGCGAAAGCCUGAUCCAGCCAUGCCGCGUGUGUGAAGAAGGUCUUCGGAUUGUAAAGCACUUUAAGUUGGGAGGAAGGGCAUUAACCUAAUACGUUAGUGUUUUGACGUUACCGACAGAAUAAGCACCGGCUAACUCUGUGCCAGCAGCCGCGGUAAUACAGAGGGUGCAAGCGUUAAUCGGAAUUACUGGGCGUAAAGCGCGCGUAGGUGGUUUGUUAAGUUGGAUGUGAAAUCCCCGGGCUCAACCUGGGAACUGCAUUCAAAACUGACUGACUAGAGUAUGGUAGAGGGUGGUGGAAUUUCCUGUGUAGCGGUGAAAUGCGUAGAUAUAGGAAGGAACACCAGUGGCGAAGGCGACCACCUGGACUAAUACUGACACUGAGGUGCAAAAGCGUGGGGAGCAAACA
rnacentral:rRNA from 1 species